AAUAGUAGAGGGAGCCAUUUCAAAUGGAGGCCUAAAGUCAGCAUCCUGUCACGGUAAACUGCACCACUGAAUUUAACUAAGUCUGAAACAACAAUAUAUGGCCAAGUUUGGAGCCGGUUUCAGAGAGAUGUGGAGUAAAAGGUGUACAUGUUUAUGAGCAAAAUGGAACCCUUGGAUGUUGUAGAACGCAAGAGAGAAGUUGGACUGGAAGAAAAGGAUUUGGAUCACUAAAUUUAAUUACGAAGUAGGGUAAAUGACCCUGUCAGGUGACUGACGAACUGAAUGUCGAGUUUCAGAGAAAUUCAGACAAAUGAAAGAAAGGAUUCAAAAUUUGACUAUACUAGGAUGAUUAUCUCGGGUCAGAGCAAAAAUAAAACUUGGAGAGUCCAAGUUUAUCUACAACAUUGCUUAAAGGACCGUGGAGCCGUCGGAUUGCAAAUCGACCGUGAAAAGGCUCUGAAGUUUCUGAUGAAAGAAGAAAGGGAGGACGGGUGACAGGGUCAAGCUUGACGUGUCGCCGCCGGCGCUCUCGGUCGCCCGCCAGCGCGGCAGCUAUGCCACCUCCUUG
rnacentral:lncRNA from 1 species